GCCUGGCUGGCUCAGUCGGAGCAGCAUAGGACUCUUGAUCUCAGGGAUGUGGGUUUGAGCCCCAUGUUGGGUG
rnacentral:tRNA from 1 species